rnacentral:rRNA from 1 species
UAGAGUUUGAUCAUGGCUCAGAUUGAACGCUGGCGGCAUGCUUUACACAUGCAAGUCGAACGGCAGCGCGGGGCAACCUGGCGGCGAGUGGCGAACGGGUGAGUAAUACAUCGGAACGUACCCAGAAGUGGGGGAUAACGUAGCGAAAGUUACGCUAAUACCGCAUACGAUCUACGGAUGAAAGUGGGGGACCUUCGGGCCUCAUGCUUUUGGAGCGGCCGAUGUCUGAUUAGCUAGUUGGUAGGGUAAAGGCCUACCAAGGCGACGAUCAGUAGCUGGUCUGAGAGGACGACCAGCCACACUGAACUGAGACACGGUCCAGACUCCUACGGGAGGCAGCAGUGGGGAAUUUUGGACAAUGGGCGCAAGCCUGAUCCAGCAAUGCCGCGUGAGUGAAGAAGGCCUUCGGGUUGUAAAGCUCUUUUGUCAGGGAAGAAACGGCUGAGGCUAAUACCUUCGGCUAAUGACGGUACCUGAAGAAUAAGCACCGGCUAACUACGUGCCAGCAGCCGCGGUAAUACGUAGGGUGCAAGCGUUAAUCGGAAUUACUGGGCGUAAAGCGUGCGCAGGCGGUUUUGUAAGUCUGUCGUGAAAGCCCCGGGCUCAACCUGGGAAUUGCGAUGGAGACUGCAAGGCUUGAAUCUGGCAGAGGGGGGUAGAAUUCCACGUGUAGCAGUGAAAUGCGUAGAGAUGUGGAGGAACACCGAUGGCGAAGGCAGCCCCCUGGGUCAAGAUUGACGCUCAUGCACGAAAGCGUGGGGAGCAAACAGGAUUAGAUACCCUGGUAGUCCACGCCCUAAACGAUGUCUACUAGUUGUCGGGUUUUAAUUAACUUGGUAACGCAGCUAACGCGUGAAGUAGACCGCCUGGGGAGUACGGUCGCAAGAUUAAAACUCAAAGGAAUUGACGGGGACCCGCACAAGCGGUGGAUGAUGUGGAUUAAUUUGAUGCAACGCGAAAAACCUUACCUACCCUUGACAUGGAAGGAAUCCCGGAGAGAUCUGGGAGUGCCCGAAAGGGAACCUUCACACAGGUGCUGCAUGGCUGUCGUCAGCUCGUGUCGUGAGAUGUUGGGUUAAGUCCCGCAACGAGCGCAACCCUUGUCAUUAGUUGCUACGCAAGAGCACUCUAAUGAGACUGCCGGUGACAAACCGGAGGAAGGUGGGGAUGACGUCAAGUCCUCAUGGCCCUUAUGGGUAGGGCUUCACACGUCAUACAAUGGUACAUACAGAGGGCCGCCAACCCGCGAGGGGGAGCUAAUCCCAGAAAGUGUAUCGUAGUCCGGAUUGUAGUCUGCAACUCGACUACAUGAAGUUGGAAUCGCUAGUAAUCGCGGAUCAGCAUGUCGCGGUGAAUACGUUCCCGGGUCUUGUACACACCGCCCGUCACACCAUGGGAGCGGGUUUUACCAGAAGUAGGUAGCUUAACCGCAAGGAGGGCGCUACCACGGUAGAUCGA